rnacentral:sRNA from 1 species
CUCUUCCCCUCUCAAAGUCGAAUGUAGGUCAAAGAGGACAACUUGCACUGAGAGAGGAAGAUCAUUCUUUCAGUAGCUGUGCUCCCCUGUUAGAGCUUACAAACAAGCUCUCAAGGUCCAUUUAUAGGAGAAGGGAAGGUAGUCAAACUUCUAAGACUCCAGACACAUCCAAAUGAGGUGUGGCAGGUGGCAGUCUGUCUUUCUUA